AAAAAGGAAGCAAAAUUUGCAUUUAGUUUCGGCCUAAACCCUUGAUUAACAUCCCUUUUUC
rnacentral:tRNA from 1 species